UGAGUGUAGAUUCACUGCACUGUGUUUGCAUGGGUCGCUAUGGUUCGUGACCUGGGCAGUAGCGCCGAGUUUUGCUACAACCCGUUCGACGUCUCUUACUUUCCUGCAACCCAGCCCAGUACUCUUUCAAUGAAAGAAACUGUUACUAAUUCUAAGUUUCAAAGGAAAUAAGACAAUGUCCCAACGUCAGAGCGGUACCGUCAAGUGGUUUAACGACGAGAAAGGUUUUGGUUUCAUCACUCCAGAAAGCGGUCCGGAUCUGUUCGUACACUUCCGCGCUAUUCAGGGCAACGGCUUCAAGAGCCUGAAAGAAGGCCAGAAAGUGACCUUCGUUGCUGUGCAGGGCCAAAAAGGCAUGCAAGCCGACGAAGUUCAAGCCGAAGCCUGAUCUUCAUCAACGAAAGAGCCCCUGCUGGCAACAGCAGGGGCUUUUUU
rnacentral:other from 1 species